rnacentral:rRNA from 1 species
AGAGUUUGAUCCUGGCUCAGGAUUAACGCUGGCGGCGUGCCUAAUACAUGCAAGUCGAACGGAAGUACCUUCGGGUACUUUAGUGGCGAACGGGUGAGUAAUACAUAGGUAACCUACCCUUAAGACGAGGAUAGCCAUUGGAAACGAUGGAUAAAACUGGAUAGGAUAUAGAGGAAGAAUCUUUUAUAUUUAAAAGAGAGAUCUGCUUAAGGAGGGGCCUGUGGCGCAUUAGCUAGUUGGUGGGGUAAGGGCCUACCAAGGCGAUGAUGCGUAGCCGGACUGAGAGGUUGAACGGCCACAAUGGAACUGAGAACGGUCCAUACUCCUACGGGAGGCAGCAGUAGGGAAUUUUCGGCAAUGGGGGGAACCCUGACCGAGCAACGCCGCGUGAACGAAGAAGCUAUUCGUAAUGUAAAGUUCUUUUAUCAGGGAAGAAAGAGGAAUUUGACGGUACCUGAGGAAUAAGCUCCGGCUAACUACGUG